GGAGGAGGAAGAUCAUCUUCCUUCCAACACGUCUCAACCAUACCUCUCUACAAAAAAAAGGAAAGGCAAGGAAGCUCCUCUUAAAGCCAGUCCUCCAUGGGUUGUGAGAGCAAAGACAAACCCCCAGAAUGACAUUGGUAGUGUUCCAGGCAACUGAGUGGAGCUGGUUCACAGGCCAGACCAGAUCACAGGCCAAACCAGACCAGAUCACAGACCAGACCAGCAUCUGAAAGGAAUUAACUUAAAUAGACAUGCAAGUUGGGGGUCAGGAGUGGAGGUCCAACCUACAACUUCA